AGAAUCAACGCUGGCGGCGUGCCUAACACAUGCAAGUCGAACGACCGAAAGUGGAGCAAUCCAUGAGUAAAGUGGCGCACGGGUGAGUAACACGUGACUAACCUACCCUUGAGUGGGGGAUAACCUAGGGAAACCUGGGCUAAUACCGCAUAAUACCUUCGGGUCAAAGGAGCAAUUCGCUUAAGGAGGGGGUCGCGGCCGAUUAGUUAGUUGGCGGGGUAAUGGCCCACCAAGACUGUGAUCGGUAU
rnacentral:rRNA from 1 species